AAGGUUAAGCCUCACGGUUCAUUAGUACCGGUUAGCUCAACGCAUCGCUGCGCUUACACACCCGGCCUAUCAACGUCGUCGUCUUCAACGUUCCUUCAGGACUCUCAAGGAGUCAGGGAGAACUCAUCUCGGGGCAAGUUUCGUGCUUAGAUGCUUUCAGCACUUAUCUCUUCCGCAUUUAGCUACCGGGCAGUGCCAUUGGCAUGACAACCCGAACACCAGUGAUGCGUCCACUCCGGUCCUCUCGUACUAGGAGCAGCCCCCCUCAGUUCUCCAGCGCCCACGGCAGAUAGGGACCGAACUGUCUCACGACGUUCUAAACCCAGCUCGCGUACCACUUUAAAUGGCGAACAGCCAUACCCUUGGGACCUACUUCAGCCCCAGGAUGUGAUGAGCCGACAUCGAGGUGCCAAACACCGCCGUCGAUAUGAACUCUUGGGCGGUAUCAGCCUGUUAUCCCCGGAGUACCUUUUAUCCGUUGAGCGAUGGCCCUUCCAUUCAGAACCACCGGAUCACUAUGACCUGCUUUCGCACCUGCUCGCGCCGUCACGCUCGCAGUCAAGCUGGCUUAUGCCAUUGCACUAACCUCCUGAUGUCCGACCAGGAUUAGCCAACCUUCGUGCUCCUCCGUUACUCUUUAGGAGGAGACCGCCCCAGUCAAACUACCCACCAGACACUGUCCGCAACCCGGAUCACGGGUCAACGUUAGAACAUCAAACAUUAAAGGGUGGUAUUUCAAGGCCGGCUCCAUGCAGACUGGCGUCCACACUUCAAAGCCUCCCACCUAUCCUACACAUCAAGGCUCAAUGUUCAGUGUCAAGCUAUAGUAAAGGUUCACGGGGUCUUUCCGUCUUGCCGCGGGUACACUGCAUCUUCACAGCGAGUUCAAUUUCACUGAGUCUCGGGUGGAGACAGCCUGGCCAUCAUUACGCCAUUCGUGCAGGUCGGAACUUACCCGACAAGGAAUUUCGCUACCUUAGGACCGUUAUAGUUACGGCCGCCGUUUACCGGGGCUUCGAUCAAGAGCUUCGCUUGCGCUGACCCCAUCAAUUAACCUUCCGGCACCGGGCAGGCGUCACACCGUAUACGUCCACUUUCGUGUUUGCACAGUGCUGUGUUUUUAAUAAACAGUUGCAGCCAGCUGGUAUCUUCGACUGAUUUCAGCUCCAUCCGCGAGGGACUUCACCUACAUAUCAGCGUGCCUUCUCCCGAAGUUACGGCACCAUUUUGCCUAGUUCCUUCACCCGAGUUCUCUCAAGCGCCUUGGUAUUCUCUACCUGACCACCUGUGUCGGUUUGGGGUACGAUUUGAUGUUACCUGAUGCUUAGAGGCUUUUCCUGGAAGCAGGGCAUUUGUUGCUUCAGCACCGUAGUGCCUCGUCAUCACGCCUCAGCCUUGAUUUUCCGGAUUUGCCUGGAAAACCAGCCUACACGCUUAAACCGGGACAACCGUCGCCCGGCCAACAUAGCCUUCUCCGUCCCCCCUUCGCAGUAACACCAAGUACAGGAAUAUUAACCUGUUUCCCAUCGACUACGCCUUUCGGCCUCGCCUUAGGGGUCGACUCACCCUGCCCCGAUUAACGUUGGACAGGAACCCUUGGUCUUCCGGCGAGCGGGCUUUUCACCCGCUUUAUCGUUACUUAUGUCAGCAUUCGCACUUCUGAUACCUCCAGCAUGCCUCACAGCACACCUUCGCAGGCUUACAGAACGCUCCCCUACCCAACAACGCAUCAGCGUCGCUGCCGCAGCUUCGGUGCAUGGUUUAGCCCCGUUACAUCUUCCGCGCAGGCCGACUCGACCAGUGAGCUAUUACGCUUUCUUUAAAUGAUGGCUGCUUCUAAGCCAACAUCCUGGCUGUCUGGGCCUUCCCACAUCGUUUCCCACUUAACCAUGACUUUGGGACCUUAGCUGGCGGUCUGGGUUGUUUCCCUCUUCACGACGGACGUUAGCACCCGCCGUGUGUCUCCCGUGAUAACAUUCUCCGGUAUUCGCAGUUUGCAUCGGGUUGGUAAGUCGGGAUGACCCCCUUGCCGAAACAGUGCUCUACCCCCGGAGAUGAAUUCACGAGGCGCUACCUAAAUAGCUUUCGGGGAGAACCAGCUAUCUCCCGGUUUGAUUGGCCUUUCACCCCCAGCCACAAGUCAUCCGCUAAUUUUUCAACAUUAGUCGGUUCGGUCCUCCAGUUAGUGUUACCCAACCUUCAACCUGCCCAUGGCUAGAUCACCGGGUUUCGGGUCUAUACCCUGCAACUUAACGCCCAGUUAAGACUCGGUUUCCCUUCGGCUCCCCUAUUCGGUUAACCUUGCUACAGAAUAUAAGUCGCUGACCCAUUAUACAAAAGGUACGCAGUCACACAGAUUGCUCUGUGCUCCCACUGCUUGUACGUACACGGUUUCAGGUUCUUUUUCACUCCCCUCGCCGGGGUUCUUUUCGCCUUUCCCUCACGGUACUGGUUCACUAUCGGUCAGUCAGGAGUAUUUAGCCUUGGAGGAUGGUCCCCCCAUAUUCAGACAGGAUACCACGUGUCCCGCCCUACUCAUCGAGCUCACAGCAUGUGCAUUUUUGUGUACGGGGCUGUCACCCUGUAUCGCGCGCCUUUCCAGACGCUUCCACUAACACACACACUGAUUCAGGCUCUGGGCUGCUCCCCGCUCGCUCGCCGCUACUGGGGGAAUCUCGGUUGAUUUCUUUUCCUCGGGGUACUUAGAUGUUUCAGUUCCCCCGGUUCGCCUCAUUAACCUAUGGAUUCAGUUAAUGAUAGUGUGACGAAUCACACUGGGUUUCCCCAUUCGGAAAUCGCCGGUUAUAACGGUUCAUAUCACCUUACCGACGCUUAUCGCAGAUUAGCACGUCCUUCAUCGCCUCUGACUGCCAGGGCAUCCACCGUGUACGCUUAGUCGCUUAA
rnacentral:rRNA from 1 species